UACGGAGGAUCCAAGCGUUGUCCGGAUUUAUUGGGUUUAAAGGGUGCGUAGGCGGAUGAUUAAGUCAGUGGUGAAAGCCGGCAGCUCAACUGUCGAACUGCCAUUGAAACUGAUCGUCUUGAAUCUAGUAGAGGUAGGCGGAAUGUAUCAUGUAGCGGUGAAAUGCGCAGAUAUCAGGAGGAACACCAAUGGCGAAGGCAGCACUCUGGGACGUGACUGACGCUGAGACGCGAAAGCGUGGGGGGAGCGAACAGG
rnacentral:rRNA from 1 species